GGUGGAGGCGCGAUGGCAGAGCAGGUGCUGAUAGGAUGAAGCUGCGGUGUUGAUGGAGGUUAUGGCUUAAGCGAAGGCUCGUGCGGGCAGCGGUCAUGGUGGUUGACAGCGCCCGACGUCGAUGCGGGGCUAAGGUUCAGUGAAGCAGAUGACGGCGACCUUCGUUGUCGUGGGGAGGCUAACGCAUCCAGAGAGGCGGCGUUCAUGGGUGGUGGUAACUAAACGGAGCUGAACAGAGGCAAUCUCGGUGGCGAAGGCACCGAAGAAGAGGGUAGCGAGGCCUUCUUACUUAAAGAGGGCAGCGGGAAAGAAGCAGUUGGCUUGGCUGCGCACAAAUGGAGAAGAAAAGAAGAAACCUUAAAAGAAGGUUUUGGGCUUGACCCAUUUUAAAGAUUAUGAAAGAUUUAAAUUUUUGGCCUUUUUAUAAAAUAAUUAAUUUAAACAUUGAUUCUAAUUCUUUUUGAGAAAAUAAUAUGUUUUUUUUAAUUUAAUUUAUACAAUUUUUAAAAAUCAU
rnacentral:lncRNA from 1 species